AUGCAGUAAUGUAGUAAGGUAUGCAGUAAUGUAGUAAGGUAUGCAGUAAUGUAGUUUACUGCAUACCUUACUACAUUACUGCAU
rnacentral:pre_miRNA from 1 species